rfam:Capsicum annuum cultivar Zunla-1 chromosome 6, whole genome shotgun sequence
AUCUCAUGGUUAGGGCAAUUUGUGAGCUUUCCCUUGAAUCUUUCUCGUGCUUUAUACCAAGAUUCUUCAUGGAAUUGACAAAAAUUAACAAUCUCACUUCAUAAUAU